UACGUAGGCAGCGAGCGUUGUUCGGAGUUACUGGGCGUAAAGAGUGCGUAGGCGGUGUUCCAAGUCUGUUGUGAAAUCUCCCGGCUUAACUGGGAGGGUGCGGCGGAAACUGGAAUGCUGGAGUGUGGGAGAGGUAAGCGGAAUUCCCGGUGUAGCGGUGAAAUGCGUAGAUAUCGGAAGGAACACCUGCGGUGUAGACGGCUUACUGGACCAUAACUGACGCUGAGGCACGAAAGCGUGGGUAGCAAACAGG
rnacentral:rRNA from 1 species